UACGUAGGGUGCGAGCGUUAAUCGGAAUUACUGGGCGUAAAGCGUGCGCAGGCGGUUUUGUAAGCCAGAUGUGAAAUCCCCGGGCUUAACCUGGGAAUGGCAUUUGGGACUGCAAGGCUUGAGUGUGUCAGAGGGGGGUAGAAUUCCACGUGUAGCAGUGAAAUGCGUAGAUAUGUGGAGGAAUACCGAUGGCGAAGGCAGCCCCCUGGGAUAACACUGACGCUCAUGCACGAAAGCGUGGGGAGCAAACAGG
rnacentral:rRNA from 1 species